UACGUAGGUGGCAAGCGUUGUCCGGAUUUACUGGGCGUAAAGAGCUCGUAGGCGGCUUGUUGCGUCAGCUGUGAAAACCCGCAGCUCAACUGUGGGCUUGCAGCUGAUACGGGCAGGCUUGAGUUCGGUAGGGGAGACUGGAAUUCCUGGUGUAGCGGUGAAAUGCGCAGAUAUCAGGAGGAACACCGGUGGCGAAGGCGGGUCUCUGGACAGUUCCUGACGCUGAGGCACGAAGGCCAGGGGAGCAAACGGG
rnacentral:rRNA from 1 species